GAAUAUUGGACAAUGGGCGAGAGCCUGAUCCAGCCAUGCCGCGUGCAGGAAGACUGCCCUAUGGGUUGUAAACUGCUUUUAUACGGGAAGAAACAUCCCCUCGUGAGGGGACUUGACGGUACCGUAAGAAUAAGGAUCGGCUAACUCCGUGCCCGCAGCCGCGGUAAUACGGAGGAUCCAAGCGUUAUCCGGAAUCAUUGGGUUUAAAGGGUCCGUAGGCGGGCAGCUAAGUCAGUGGUGAAAGUCUGCAGCUCAACUGUAGAAUUGCCAUUGAUACUGGUUGUCUUGAAUUAUUAUGAAGUGGUUAGAAUAAGUAGUGUAGCGGUGAAAUGCAUAGAUAUUACUUAGAAUACCAAUUGCGAAGGCAGAUCACUAAUAAUAUAUUGACGCUGAUGGACGAAAGCGUGGGGAGCGAACAGG
rnacentral:rRNA from 1 species